rnacentral:rRNA from 1 species
AAUAAACGCUGGCGGCGUGCCUAACACAUGCAAGUCGCACGAGAAAGGGACUUCGGUCCCGAGUAAAGUGGCGCACGGGUGAGUAACGCGUAGGCAACCUACCCCCGGGGUUGGGAUAACAGUGCGAAAGCGCUGCUAAUACCGGAUACGACAGGGAGACGGUGGUUUCUUUGUGAAAGCGGGCCUCUCUAUAGAAGCUCGCGCUCGGGGAUGGGCCUGCGUCCUAUCAGCUAGUUGGCAGGGUAACGGCCUACCAAGGCGACGACGGGUAGCUGGUCUGAGAGGAUGAUCAGCCACACUGGCACUGGAACACGGGCCAGACUCCUACGGGAGGCUG